rnacentral:rRNA from 1 species
UACGAGGGGUGCAAGCGUUGCUCGGAAUUAUUGGGCGUAAAGGGGAGGUAGGUGGUCUCAUUUGUCUGGGGUGAAAGCCUUGAGCUUAACUCAAGAAGUGCCCCGGAAACGGUGAGACUGGAGUCCCGGAGAGGGUCGUGGAAUUCCCGGUGUAGCGGUGAAAUGCGUAGAUAUCAGGAGGAACACCUGUGGCGAAAGCGGCGCACUGGACCACAACUGACGCUGAGGCGCGAAAGCUAGGGGAGCAAACAGG